rnacentral:rRNA from 6 species
GACCUCAGGUCAGGCGGGGCUACCCGCUGAA